CCUACGGGGGGCAGCAGUGAGGAAUAUUGGUCAAUGGACGAGAGUCUGAACCAGCCAAGUAGCGUGAAGGAUGACUGCCCUAUGGGUUGUAAACUUCUUUUAUAUGGGAAUAAAAUGUUCCACGUGUGGGAUUUUGUAUGUACCAUACGAAUAAGGAUCGGCUAACUCCGUGCCAGCAGCCGCGGUAAUACGGAGGAUCCGAGCGUUAUCCGGAUUUAUUGGGUUUAAAGGGAGCGUAGGCGGAUUGUUAAGUCAGUUGUGAAAGUUUGCGGCUCAACCGCAAAAUUGCAGUUGAAACUGGCAGUCUUGAGUACAGUAGAGGUAGGCGGAAUUCGUGGUGUAGCGGUGAAAUGCUUAGAUAUCACGAAGAACUCCGAUUGCGAAGGCAGUUCACUGGACUGCAACUGACGCUGAGGCUCGAAAGUGUGGGUAUCAAACAGGAUUAGAUACCCUGGUAGUC
rnacentral:rRNA from 1 species